rnacentral:rRNA from 1 species
UACGGAGGGGGCUAGCGUUGUUCGGAAUUACUGGGCGUAAAGCGCACGUAGGCGGCUUUGUAAGUUAGAGGUGAAAGCCCAGGGCUUAACCCUGGAAUUGCCUUUAAGACUGCAUCGCUAGAAUCGUGGAGAGGUGAGUGGAACUCCGAGUGUAGAGGUGAAAUUCGUAGAUAUUGGGAAGAACACCGGUGGCGAAGGCGGCUCACUGGCUCGUAACUGACGCUCAUGCACGACAGCGUGGGGAUCAAACAGG